rnacentral:rRNA from 1 species
UACGGAGGGUGCGAGCGUUGUCCGGAAUCACUGGGCGUAAAGGGUGCGUAGGCGGCGCGGUAAGUCGGGUGUGAAAUCUCGGGGCUUAACUCCGAAACUGCAUUCGAUACUACCGUGCUUGAGGACUGGAGAGGAGACUGGAAUUUACGGUGUAGCGGUGAAAUGCUUAGAUAUCGUCAAGAACACCGAUAGUGUAGACAGCUUACUAGGCUACAACUGACGCUGAGGCACGAAAGUGUGGGGAUCAAACAGG